rnacentral:tRNA from 1 species
AGCCCGGUCGUCUAGUGGCCAAUCUCCAUGGUUGAGGGCUAGGGAUUCCAGGCUCUGGACCUGGAGACAGCAGUUCGAAUCUGCUCCGGGCUACCA